rnacentral:rRNA from 1 species
UACGUAGGGUGCAAGCGUUGUCCGGAAUUAUUGGGCGUAAAGAGCUCGUAGGCGGCUUGUCGCGUCGACUGUGAAAUCCCGCGGCUCAACUGCGGGUCUGCAGUCGAUACGGGCAGGCUAGAGUUCGGUAGGGGAGACUGGAAUUCCUGGUGUAGCGGUGAAAUGCGCAGAUAUCAGGAGGAACACCGGUGGCGAAGGCGGGUCUCUGGGCCGAUACUGACGCUGAGGAGCGAAAGCGUGGGGAGCAAACAGG